rnacentral:lncRNA from 1 species
CACAGAGGUGUGUGGGGUUCUGGUCGAUCGAACAGGAGGGGAGCAAGGGGGAAAGCCCUAGUUUUAUCAAUUCCACAUAAUUCCAUAGAAAUUUCAAGGAAAUCAAAGGAUAAUCAGCAAAUUACAAGCUCCUAAACUUGUUCUUUGAAGGAGCGUGAAGGAAGAAGGUACAAGCACUAGGAAAACGGAAGGCACGCAAGAUCGAGGAAUCCCGUAUGUUGGGGCGUGAAGGAAGAAGGUACAAGCACUAGAAAAACGGAAGGCACACAAGAUCGAGGUAAAUCCUCAACCUAAGCGAUUGGACGACUUAGAACGAGCGCACUUAAUCUACGCCCACUUCACGCUUCCGUCAUAAGUCAUUUUAAUGCGGUCUUAAUUUUUGGUCUUAUGUACUUCAACUUAUG